CUAAAUGUUUGGAAUGCAUUGUGCAGGUUCUCCCCUUUUCGAAAAUGAGGAUCCAAACGAAGACCAGUCAUCGCAGCACAAUGAAGGAGCUGAGAGUGAACAGCCUGCACAGCCUGCACAGCCUGCACAGCAAACGAAAGAAGCCGUCUUCCAGUUAUAAGACUGCACAACGUCCUGAAGCCGAACAGUUAUUCAACUCUUGACCCUCGACAUUGUUAAUGACAACAUAUCUAAAAACUGUGAAAGACUUUGAUACAAUUUUGUACUAUUGCUAGCUCAAGGUAUCUCAGUCGCUGACUAUUCCACUGUAAUGAUGAUGUAGUUCCUGUAGCCAAAUGUAAAAGGCAUUCAAAUCCUCUUCUCAGUGUUUUAGAGGAACAUAUAUUUACAAUGUAGAAUGUAACUUUAUAAUGUUGUAAACAAAAUGUGUAAACUCAAAUUUGAUAAGCAGCCAUGAUUUCAAAACCAGAAUGCCUGAACCCAUCGUGGGAGGCAUGUCUUUCGGAGAUGCCAUAAAUCAGUUCAUGGACUUCUUGCCAUCUGAUUCCCAGGACGUCAUAUUUGUCAGAUUGAUGGACAAGUACGUAGAAUAGUCUCCAGCAGUCUUGAUAAUAAUCUACAAGGUGGAUUGUGAACUAAAACCAUCCACAAUCACAUGCAACCAGUCCUUUGAUGCUGAGAUCAAACCGUCCAUCAUUGAUGAAGAGGGGUUUAAAGGACAACCAUUAAAUUGACAACCAACACAAAGGUCUUCUGAGCCUGCACCCUUAAUUAGGACAUGUCUGUAUGGUGGGGAGUCUUAGAAUCUCUCCUCUUAACAUGAUGGGCGGGACGAUCCCAAAUAGCUUCUCAACUGCUAACUCGUUUUGGCAAAGGUCACAUAUAGACCUCUUAAUUUCUGCUUCAAAGACGUCUGCAAGUAACAUCUGAGGGCAUUGAACGUUGAGAGUUAUUAGCAACGCUCUGCCGGCAGGGGGUCUCACAAGAGUGAUUACCCCAAGCUACAUGACGCUACAUCGAAAGAAGAAUACAGCUGAAUCCAUACACAUGUGCAGCCUCUAUAACAGGAACACAUUCCAGUGUACGUCUGUACUGCACCCGUAGGUGCCUUUUUGUACUGAACAAACUGGAUUAUUCCCUUAUUGUACUUUUGAAGUAGAUU